UACGGAGGGUGCGAACGUUAAUUGGAAUCACUGGGCGUAAAGCGCGCGUAGGCGGUUUGUUAAGUGGGAUGUGAAAUCCCCGGGCUUAACCUGGGAAUUGCAUUUCAAACUGGCCGACUAGAGUACGGUAGAGGGAGGUAGAAUUUCCUGUGUAGCGGUGAAAUGCGUAGAUAUAGGAAGGAAUACCAGUGGCGAAGGCGGCCUCCUGGAUCGAUACUGACGCUGAGGCGCGAAAGCGUGGGGAGCAAACAGG
rnacentral:rRNA from 1 species